AGGGUUUUUGUGUCCAUGGCCUUCACACUUACGGCACUAACUACUGGCCACUUCAUGUGAUAGUCAUCAAUGUCUUUGUUCCCCAGGGAGAGCUGCCAGGCAGAGCAGGCAGUGCACACUGAGAAGGCCCAGGAGAAGGUCUCUGCGCGUCUCCUCAUUGAGGAGUUGGAUGACAAGGAACUUCAUCUCUGCUUGAGAGGUUAAAGGUCAGGAACCUGGUGUAAAGAUAUAUUGGGACAAUGGAUGAGACUUCAGGAGUGGUCUCCUCCCUGAACCUGCAGAUUUCCAAGAGGAGUUUGCUGCUUGGAUUAGUAGGCCUCGCAUGACAUUCCUGGACUAAAAGAAACGGAGGUGCAAAGAGAUCACAUUACUUGUUGAAGAUUUCAGAGUUGGAUGGUGACACGGAUGCACUGGUCAGGAACCUAAGCUGGGGGAAACAAAAGACUACAGUUGAUUCUGAGGCUCAAGCAAAUAGGAAGGCUGCCAUGAAAGAUAAUUUUGGAUGCUCUACACUGCUCUGGUGGCACAUGUACAGGCUGCACUGCACCAGGCUGUGUGCUGCCGUCAGGCAGGGCAGAUGGCUGUGUCCUGACUACGCCCCAUCAGUCCCUGUGUGAGCAAAGAUUUGUAACAACAUAUGUUUAUUCUCCCCACCCCCUCCUCACCUUGGAAAAUUACAGUGAAUAAGCUAGAAGAACAAACAAACAA